GUGUGAGGAGAGGGGUGUGGGCUGGGUGGGGUGUGAGCUGUGUGGUGUGUGAGCAGGAGAGGGGUGUGAGCUGUGUGGUGUGUGAGGAGGAGAGGGGUGUGAGCUGUGUGGUGUGUGAGGAGGAGAGGGGUGUGAGCUGUCUGGUGUGUGAGGAGAGGGGUGUGGGCUGUGUGGUGUGUGAGGAGAGGGGUGUGAGCUGUGUGGUGUGUGAGGAGGAGAGGGGUGUGGGCUGUGUGGUGUGUGAGCAGGAGAGGGGUGUGAG
rnacentral:lncRNA from 1 species